UACGUAGGGUGCGAGCGUUAAUCGGAAUUACUGGGCGUAAAGCGUGCGCAGGCGGUUCGUUAUGUCCGAUGUGAAAGCCCCGAGCUCAACUUGGGAAUGGCAUUGGAAACUGGCGGGCUGGAGUGUGGCAGAGGGGGGGUGGAAUUCCGCGUGUAGCAGUGAAAUGCGUAGAUAUGCGGAGGAACACCGAUGGCGAAGGCAAUCCCCUGGGCCUGCACUGACGCUCAUGCACGAAAGCGUGGGGAGCAAACAGG
rnacentral:rRNA from 1 species